CUUUAGAAGCAAAUACCUGCAGGUAGCCUGCAUUCUUCAAUGGUUGCAGAGUGUUUCACUGGAAAGCAAACUUAACCCAGGAACGAAGGGAGGGCGACAGCUAGUUGGCUUGUAAGUAGACUCUAUCUCAAAAGCCAGAGGCUUACAAAGUGGAUUGUGUACACAGUAGGGAGUGCAAAAUGCCUACUGGAAUGUGGGAAGAAAUAUGAUCUCCGUUCAUUUUUCUCUUAUCCCUCAAAAUUGUGGCAUACUUUAAAACAUCAUCAUAGUGCAGUAACACAGUCAUAUUAUUUAUACAUAUUUCCAUAUUAGGAGUGUGUACUCAAGAUUUUUAAGUGUAAGAUACAAGAUCAAAAAACUUGGAGACAAGCUGGAUGCGAUGGUUCAUGCCCUUUGGGAGGCCAAGGUAUGAGCCAUCACAACUGGCCACAUUUUAAAACUUCUAUGAAAAAUUUCAAAUAUAAACACAGGUAGAGAAAAUAGUAUAAUAAAUCCCCAAGUGCCCAUCACCCAGCUUCAAUAAUUAUCAACUCACAGCCAAU
ensembl:lncRNA novel transcript, antisense to ADAM10